rnacentral:rRNA from 1 species
AUUGAACGCUGGCGGCAGGCCUAACACAUGCAAGUCGAGCGAGAGGCGGACAGGUGAGUAAUGUCUGGGAAACUGCCUGAUGUAGGGGGAUAACUACUGGAAACGGUGGCUAAUACCGCAUACCAUCAGAUGUGCGCCGAUGGGAUUAGCUAGUAGGUGGGGUAAUGGCGCACCUAGGCGACGAUCCCUAGCUGGUCUGAGAGGAUGACCAGCCACACUGGAACUGAGACACGGUCCAGACUCCUACGGGAGGCAGCAGUGGGGAAUAUUGCACAAUGGGCGCAAGCCUGAUGCAGCCAUGCCGCGUGUGUGAAGAAGGCCUUCGGGUUGUAAAGCACUUUAAGCGGGGAGGCGUUACCCGCAGAAGAAGCACCGGCUAACUCCGUGCCAGCAGCCGCGGUAAUUC